rnacentral:rRNA from 1 species
AACGAACGCUGGCGGCAUGCCUAACACAUGCAAGUCGAACGAGACCUUCGGGUCUAGUGGCGCACGGGUGCGUAACGCGUGGGAACCUGCCCUUAGGUUCGGAAUAACUCCCCGAAAGGGGUGCUAAUACCGGAUAAUGUCUUCGGACCAAAGAUUUAUCGCCUUUGGAUGGGCCCGCGUUGGAUUAGCUAGUUGGUAGGGUAAAAGCCUGCCAAGGCGACGAUCCAUAGCUGGUCUGAGAGGAUGAUCAGCCACACUGGGACUGAGACACGGCUCAGACUCCUACGGGAGGCAGCAGUGGGGAAUAUUGGACAAUGGGCGAAAGCCUGAUCCAGCAAUGCCGCGUGAGUGAUGAAGGCCUUAGGGUUGUAAAGCUCUUUUACCCGGGAUGAUAAUGACAGUACCGGGAGAAUAAGCUCCGGCUAACUCCGUG